UACGGAGGGUGCGAGCGUUGUCCGGAAUCACUGGGCGUAAAGGGCGCGUAGGCGGCGCGGGUAGUCAACGGUGAAAGCUUGGGGCUCAACCCCGAGUCGGCCGUCGAUACUCCCGCGCUCGAGCACUGUAGAGGCAGGUGGAAUUCCGGGUGUAGCGGUGGAAUGCGUAGAGAUCCGGAAGAACACCGGUGGCGAAGGCGGCCUGCUGGGCAGUAGCUGACGCUGAGGCGCGACAGCGUGGGGAGCGAACCGG
rnacentral:rRNA from 1 species